GUGAGUCAAGGGGAAUGGAGUGAGAAAAAUAUAAAAUAAAUGAAGGUUCUCAGCUUUAUACAUAUUUUUUUUUCUCCUGGGUCAUUUUAAAUGCUACCUUGGUAAUGAUCUUCAUUUAAUUUAUUCUUCAGAUCCUCUGUGCUUGAAAAUACAGAGAUGAUAUGAAAAAAAAAGUCACCAUCUUUGUAAGAAUCUUACUGAAUAAGAAAGAUCUUUUUUACAAAUUAAACUGCUGAAGAGAUUUCAACUGGGUUUGGAAUCCAGAUCAACUCAAUCUCUGGCAGAAUAUUUUCAGGAAAAAAAAAAACCCUGGAACAUUUGAGAAUUACAGUUCUGUACCUCUGCAAAGAUUUGUAUAUUCUUCCAUUGGUGGGUGAGGGGGCAGGAGGAAAUUCUCUGGGUAGGCUUACAAAAACAAGAUUUUUAAGCGCUUCUGAUGAUUCUGAGCUACAUUUCUGGACUGGAAUUUGAGUGUUUACGUCGCUGUUUCUUGGAUAAUUAAAGAGGGCAGCAAAGGACCAUAAGCAAUUCUCCAAUGGUGAAGAUCGACCCCAGUCAUGUAAAAACACGAGGCAACACAUUUCACUUUUGCUUAAGAAGGAUCUUGCAGAAAGUGAAGAAGAGCAGGAAUAGAGAAGACAUUUGAAUGACGACUGAUGUUCUCUUCUUUGGCCUGAGGUUUUAGAACACAUUCACUGCCUGAUCACUGUGGCCCAGAAGCCAUGGCCUCUGCUGAGAGAUAGGGACCCCAUGUUCCCUCUACACAUCUUCUUCCCCAAAGCCUCUCUGAGGCUCCUAUGUUCAAAGAAACAGUCCUCUGGCAAUGGCCUGGUCCUUUCUGCCAUACCAAAGAAAGUUGUUUUUUGUUUUGAGCAAGAGAUCACUUCUGAUUUUCCUACCUUUGACAUGGACCAGACUAAUUGACAAAUUCUAGAAGGACAGACACUUCCAAACGUCUCUUGACAUACUGGCUUCACAAAGGUUAGGAAAGCUGUUAUGGGGAGGACGGAGCCUUUCUCCUCUUCCUGAGAACGUUUGAAGAAGAAAGGGGCUACUGAGAAGUCUGGUAGAUUCAGCAGCUAGUAAAUAUCGUGUCUAAAUGGGCAUCUUUUAUUAAACUCUGAGGCAGGGUUGGUGUGUUAGGCCAUUCUUUCUUGCUAUAAAGAAAUAUCUGAGACUGGGUAACUUAUAAAGAACAGAGGUUUAAUUGGCUCAUGGUUCUGCAGGCUGCACAGAAAGCAUAAUGACAUCUUCUUCUGGCUAGGCCUCUGGAAGCUUCCAAUGAUGGUGGAAGGCGAAGAGGGAACUUGCGCAUCACAUGGCAAAAGCAGGAGCAAGAGAGAGGCGAGGAGGUGCCGCACACUUUUAAAAGACCAGAUCUCAUGAAAACUCACUAUUGUGAGGACAGCACCAAGAGGAUCGUGCUAAAUUAUUCAAGAGAAAUCCUCCCCCAUGAUCCAGUCACCUCCCACCAGGCCCCACCUCCAACAUUGGGGAUUACAUUUCAACAUGAGAUUUGGAUGGAAACACAUUCAAGCUUUAUCAGCCCAGCUCCGGGAGUUCUUAAACUCAUAAGAAUCUAUGAGCUCCCAGAUUUAUGGGCCUUGAAAUAGACUUUAUUCUCCACUACCAUUUUUCGUUUGUAAUUUACAAGUGUCUUAUGGGAAGCGACAUUGAGGGUAUGUAAGUAUCCUGUUUCUCAUCUA
rnacentral:lncRNA from 1 species